UGUCCGAGACUUCCUCCGCACGCUGCCUCUCCCCUUCGUGUCUUUGGUCUCUCUCUCUCUCUCGAUUUCUUCCUUCUGUUUUUCUGUUUUGCUUUCAUUCUCUGCUCUUUCCCUUGCAAACCUCAUUGAACUCCAUCAUCCAUCGAGAUUUCUCUCUGCCGCGAGUCUUCUCCACGUCCGCCCAUCUCCAUUGAGUUUUGUCCCCCACGAGUCAACGUUCAACACUUCUCAACUUCGGUCUCUCCUUCGCCCGCACGAAUUCAGCCGACCGAAGCCAGCUCGCCACCUCAACCGGUCUUCCUUCUUGUUAUCAACGCCAGCUGCACGAAGUCAGCCGCAAGAAGCCCAGCCCAGCUCGAUCUCCGCGGCAUCUUCUCCCCUCUCGAGGUCAGCCGAGCAAGCUCUUGUUUGACCGCCCCAAGAGACCGAAGCCGUCCACGUUCCCUGCCCCUCCUCGUGUCUUCCGUGUGUGCAGUCAAUCGAAGCAGCUCACACGCAGCAGCUUCUUCAAUGUCCCUCGAAGAUCCAGCGAAGCCACGCUUCUUCGUCUUCAGCAACUUUCAUCAACCGCUUGCGAGAAACCCAGCCGCAAGUCAGCCCAAGCCAGCAAACUUCGGGCCCAGCAAAGCCCAUCUUCGGGCUUUCUUGUGUAGCCCACCAAGCAGCCCAACUUCCUCAACAACAGCUCAAGCCCAGCCUAAGAAGCAGCCCAUCAAUUGAGUUCUUGAGGCCGCGAAGCAAGCCCAACCCUGCUGCAACCUAAGCCCAAGAUCAAGCCCAGCACUUAUUGUGGGCUUGCAAGGCUUUUGGGCCCAGUCCAAGUGUUUGUCAACGUCGCCGAAAAUUUGGAUUUCAGUCGCCGUCGUUUUGUCGUCGAGUUGGCAUGGGUGAAGGACCGGAGGCCUGAAGUGUAGAAGAUGAAGCUUGAAGAAUUGACGAUCCUAUUAGACUAGCUAGUCAUAGGACAAGCCUCUUUUAAUGGAAGUUGAUUCAUUUUUGCAAACUUCGUUUUAGGAACUUGUGGUUUAGAACUUGACUAAACAAAUCGACUUGUAUAUAUUUGCACUAUGAUUUGCAAUGUAUAUAAGUGUGGUUGUUUUCAAAGUUGAAAUUUAAAAUUCUACUU